rnacentral:rRNA from 1 species
UACGGGAUAUUGCGCAAUGGGCGAAAGCCUGACGCAGCAACGCCGCGUGAAGGAUGAAGGCCUUCGGGUUGUAAACUUCUGUCAGGCGGGACGAACGAGCGGCGGUGAAUAGCCGCCGUUUCUUGACGGUACCGCCGGGGGAAGCCCCGGCUAACUCCGUG